rnacentral:sRNA from 1 species
GAGACGUGGCCUGGCCCAGACCCCCACUGAUCCAGCCCUUCCCCGAACCCAGGCCCAGUCGGUGCGAGAAGUGUUUGCCCGGCAGCUGAUGCAGGUGCGCGGAGUGAGUGGGGAGAAGGCAGCAGCCCUGGUGGAUCGAUACAGCACCCCCGCCAGCCUCCUGGCCGCUUAUGAUGCUUGUGCCACCCCCAAGGAACAAGAGACACUGCUGAGCACCAUCAAGUGUGGGCGUCUACAGAGGAAUCUGGGGCCUGCUCUGAGCAGGACCUUAUCCCAGCUCUACUGCAGCUACAGCCCUUUGACCUGAGCUUAUGCCGUGAAACAGUCCCCAGCCCCCGUCUGUCCCCCAACCCAGGCUUGCCAGCCUUUUAACAACAUAUUUUGGGGUGCAAUUAGAAUCUAAGUGUUUGCAGCCAUAUUUGUCAUGCGGAAGAUGCCUAGCCCUGGGGACCUUGUGAAAUACGCAGGAACCAGGGAUACCAUCUGGUCCAGUGGUUUUUAAACAAAGCUGCUUAGGACCUGGAAUUCCCUGGUCAGGGAGAUGGAGUCAGUGGGGCAUUGCAGCUUUGAAUCGAUUUUAUGUCACCAGUUGGUCCUCAUCAAAUAAAACUUCCUUAGGAGUGCAGAGGGCUCAUUGGGAAAAUAAAAAUAAUAAAAAUAAAACUUCCUAAAAGAAAAGCUUGAAAACCA